rnacentral:lncRNA from 1 species
GAUAACGAUGGGAGUUUGAAAUAUCCAACAAAAUACAUUGAUAAGUAAAAUGUACUUGAUUUUAACUGAAUAAUGUGUCGGCAGUCCAUAUAGUAAAUGUAAGUAUCGCACAACAGGUUUGCAAGAUGAUAAGAAUGUAAAAUAACCGAACACAGUCAAUGCAGAUAAAUAAAACACUGAUAUACAUUCUCUUUAUGUACAAAAUGUUAAUAUAGACAUAGCGGUGUAUUCGAGACCAAUAUAAUGGGCUAAAAAGUUGUCGAAAUAAACUAUUAAACCUAAGGACAUUAAUAUAAAUUAAGCAUGGCUUAAAAAAAACCUCACGUGCAAAUGGGAGAUUUUUCAGAAUGUUUCUGUAACUCGUUAUAACUUUCAAGGUUGUAGAAUUAGCAUUAGUUAUCGAUGUGUAUCCUCUUUUCGGGCAGAUAGUUCUGGAGUGUAUUAUACCGUUUGUUCUUAACAAAAUCUCUAUACCAGUAUAAAAGAUUUAAACACAUUUUGUAUUAACUCCAGAGUAUUAACAGCUAGAAAUAUGAUGUAUUUUUCAAGAUAUCCUUUUUUGUCUGGUUCCCUGUUUUACAGCAAAACAAUCUUAGUAAAUAUUUGAGAAAAUUGAUACUGAUUGGGCAUGCAUAUAUUUAUUCAACUUUCAAAC